GCCCACAACAUCAGAAUACACAUUAUUCCCAUCAGAUUGACCCUGUUGAUCUAACUAAUCCAUUAGCCAGUUAGGUCUGAUGCAUUGGC
ensembl:snoRNA